rnacentral:tRNA from 1 species
ACGAAAGAUUGACGAUUGGUAAGAAAUCCACAACAAGUUGUUCUUCAUGACGAUGUAUCUGAGGGUCUGUAGCUCAGUUGGUUAGAGCACACGCUUGAUAAGCGUGGGGUCACAAGUUCAAGUCUUGUCAGACCCACCAUGAGCAAGACUUAAAGCACUGCUUUAAGGCGAAGCGCAAGGCAAACGAACGUGAGUGAGUGCGCAGGCUAUAAUCUGAUACAUCGAAUCACAAAUGAUAAGCUGGGGACUUAGCUUAGUUGGUAGAGCGCCUGCUUUGCACGCAGGAGGUCAGGAGUUCGACUCUCCUAGUCUCCACCACUCAUUGCGAUGCAAUGAGUUAAACAUUAAGCAAACGAACUGAUAGCUUAUAGAGCUUAGUGAUUAAGUUGCGUAUAAUACGCGGCAUUGUUAUUAAUCUCUGUGAUUUAUCACAGUAAUGCAGUCCGACGAGGAUGCAUUAAAUCAUUAACAGAAUAUAUUUGAGUUGAAAUAAUUUGUUCAUACUCAUGAAAGAGCGGAAACAAGAGGUCGCAAGAUUGAUUGUUGAAGUGAUUGAAUGAGAACUAGCGAAAUUAACUGAAUCAAGCGUUUUGGUAUAUGAAUCUAAUUGAAGCUGUACAGUGAUUAAGUUCACAAGAUCGCAAACAACUACGUUGCUACACUGACUUGUAGGUGUAACGACUGUUUGGGGUUGUAU